rnacentral:rRNA from 1 species
AGUGAACGCUGGCGGUAGGCCUAACACAUGCAAGUCGAACGGCAGCACAGUAAGAGCUUGCUCUUACGGGUGGCGAGUGGCGGACGGGUGAGGAAUACAUCGGAAUCUACUUUUUCGUGGGGGAUAACGUAGGGAAACUUACGCUAAUACCGCAUACGACCUACGGGUGAAAGCAGGGGAUCUUCGGACCCUGCGCGAUUGAAUGAGCCGAUGUCGGAUUAGCUAGUUGGCGGGGUAAAGGCCCACCAAGGCGACGAUCCGUAGCUGGUCUGAGAGGAUGAUCAGCCACACUGGAACUGAGACACGGUCCAGACUCCUACGGGAGGCAGCAGUGGGGAAUAUUGGACAAAGGGCGCAAGCCUGAUCCAGCCAUACCGCGUGGGUGAAGAAGGCCUUCGGGUUGUAAAACCCUUUUGUUGGGAAAGAAAAGCAGCAGGUUAAUACCCCGCUGUUCUGACGGUACCCAAAGAAUAAGCACCGGCUAACUUCGUG